rnacentral:rRNA from 1 species
GUGCCAGCCGCCGCGGUAAUACGUAGGUGGCAAGCGUUAUCCGGAAUUAUUGGGCGUAAAGCGCGCGUAGGCGGUUUUUUAAGUCUGAUGUGAAGCCCACGGCUCAACCGUGGAGGGUCACUUGGAAACUGGAAAACUUGAGUGCAGAAGAGGAAAGUGGAAUUCCAUGUGUAGCGGUGAAAUGCGCAGAGAUAUGGAGGAACACCAGUGGCGAAGGCGACUUUCUGGUCUGUAACUGACGCUGAUGUGCGAAAGCGUGGGGAUCAAACA